CACGUAGGGGGCAAGCGUUGUCCGGAUUUAUUGGGCGUAAAGAGCUCGUAGGCGGUUUCGUAAGUCGGAUGUGAAAACUCCAGGCUCAACUUGGAGACGCCAUUCGAUACUGCGAUGACUUGAGUCCGGUAGGGGAGUGUGGAAUUCCUGGUGUAGCGGUGAAAUGCGCAGAUAUCAGGAAGAACACCCGUGGCGAAGGCGGCUCUCUGGGACGGUACUGACGCUGAGACGCGAAAGCGUGGGGAGCGAACAGG
rnacentral:rRNA from 1 species